ACCUUAAUACACUAUAAUAUUUGGUCUUUUCAAUCUCAAUUACUAUCAAAUAUCAAAUGUAUAUCAUUUCAAAAUUACAUAAAAAGAUCCCUCUGAAUAACACACACCAUAUCCUGAAAAACAAGAUACCACUGAACUAUCCAUAGAACAAAAGCAAGAAACAGACAAUAAAACCUGACCAAUCAGAACUAGCUCAGAAAACAACUAUGUUAAUUGUUAAUUGUUAGUAAAGACUUUGCACUUGAAGCACAAUGUAUUUCUGAAAUGAUCAUUUGAUAUUUGUUCUGUCAAUGGCAAAUUGUUUUCAAAUUAAGAUAAAUAUUCUGUUACAAAAUUC
rnacentral:lncRNA from 1 species